AAAAGGUAUUUAUAAGAAAAAAUAAAAAAGUGAGUAAUUUUAUUUGUGGCCAUUGCAGGCCCAACCCAUGUGGCAACGUUACAUGGAGGGCAUACUUCAAUGCAUUAUCCCAAGUCAUCCAACGGUGAUUGCAGAACGCAGAGUGUGCAGAGGUGAGGUAAAUAAAGAUGAACCACUAGCGAUGGAAAGGCAGAAGGGCACCGAAACGUCGUCGUACAGGUCAAUUUAUUAGGACGGGGAACAAACCCUAAUUAGGAGUUGGCGGACAAGAAAGCAUUACAUUACAUAUACAAAACAAGCACUACCACCACCUUCCAAGUCCCAGCUCCUCCAUCUUCCAUGGCCGAUGGUUCAGUUCUCUUGAAAUCCAACCUUUCUUCAUCUUACACAUGGGCAAGCAUCAUUUUGACUUGUUUAUUGGAGGUUUAUUCUUCAGGUGAUUGAUGUUUGGUGACUGCUGAUUCCCACUUCUUAUCAAUUGUUGGAGGAGAGAUAUGAUGAUGGUCUAGUAUUGUAUAUAAAUAAUCUCUUGUGUUAUUUGGUAGCAUUUUUGUUAACCAUUGAACCUGAAAUGUUGAUAUGUAAGUUAUACAUUGGAAUUCAUUGAAGGGUGUCCUAUAGUUUUCUAAGCAUUUUCUCUGGGAAUGAUUUGUACUUGUAGGACUCAAGGAAUUAAUGACCACUUUUUGUACAAGAAGAAAGAAACAGUGAAAUAUAAUGACAAUACCUCUUGUUUACUUUGGAUAUUUGCUUAAAUAAAUGGGUCCUGAUGAUAAAUA